AAGUCAUUUUAACAUUUCCCACAUUCAUAUUGAUGUUAAUGAAUUUAGACAUAUAUACACACUGUGGGGACACCCAAUUUAGGCUUGGUGCCCCGAAAAUUCAUUCGUGAUCGUCCAGGAUUUCGAUCUCGUGAUCGUCCAGGAUUUCGAUCACAGAUUGAUAUACAGAUCAGCUUUCAAUUAAUUAUACAAAUUUGGUUAUACAAGCUAAUUAUACAAUUGUUAAAGGUUGAAAAGAUCCAAACUAAAAUAUCCUUAUUUGAAAAUACAAGAAAAAUCUAAAGUGCUAAACUACUAAACUCCUAAGCUCUUCAACUACUAAAACUACAGCUAAUAAACUCCAAAGAAUUCAAAUAACUCCACAGGCAAAAGCUCGAGUGUAGACUAGCCUAGAUAAACUUGUCGUUGCCGUAAAAUCUCGCUUCCUUCCGAUCUCCUUGUUAGCACGUUUCCUCUAUAUGUCAAAUUAUGCAAGGGUGAGUACUUAUGUACUCAACAAGACAUAUUAUAAAUAAUUAAAGGUGAGUAGAUAUGAAUAAAUAAACAAAAAUAAAGUAAAGGAAUAAUAAAAACCAUAAAUCAUCUUUAUCCUCAACUCUUUAAUUUUAAAACUACUUAUACUUCAGGAGUAGGAAUCACCCUGAUGACACAACUGCAGAACCGGGAGUAUGGCACAUUCGAAUGAUUUAAUUCACCUCUGCAGAGACUGUCCAGCUUUACCCACACGAUGUCAACAAUUUGCAAGGCUAAGGACACCAGAGCCGUUCGAAGGUCCCACUUACUACUAGUUACUACACAGUGGGGUCUUGGUUCAUCAUAGUGGUCGAACUCUUGCCAGGCCUAGGCAAGGUAUCUAUAUCGUCACACUUUCAUGAAUCCCACUGUUGUGAAACACUGCCGCCCAAACUCCUUACGCAAGUUCACCCCAAAACCGCUCAUAGAGCCACCCAACAGUCUUUCAUAUAGUGGGACAAUGUACUACGCUAAGUCCAAUUACUUGAUUGUGUGGAUGGACGCAACUAUGUCAUUUCCAUGGUAUAAGGGGGUAAUUAUAAUCCGGUUAAACCACCCAAAACUUUCCAAACUCCCCACACCAACAUCACAAACUUCAUCAACAUUCAUAAUCACAGCAUUUAUAAUCUCAACUCAUAAAUGCCCAUUUUAAUUGGAUUCCUAAGUUUGUAAAGUUGUUUGGAAUAGUAAAUCACAUAAAAUGAUAACCAAUGCUUCUUUCUAUGUUCUCAUGCAAUCAUGCUUAAAAGCAUUUAACAUCUACCCAUGAGAUGUUAAAAGAGUAAGGUAUUAUGCAUCAAAUUAAAUAUGAAGAUCAUAUCAAGUUUUCUAUAUGAUCAAAUUUUAAUUAUGUCUUUCCUUGCACCUUAAGAUUUCUUGCGGCUUUAGCGUAGCCAUCUGGGUCCACGUCAGCUCCUUGGAUGCUGAUAAAACUUGCUGUACGGUCUAACGUACGAAUACGAAAAGAUAGCAAAUAAAGCCUAUAAGCAAAUUGCUACAAAGAAAUGAUAAAAACCAAAUAAUAAAUAAAAUUGGAGCAAGGCGAAGGAAAAAGGAAUGGUUCAAAAUAAAUUUUAGUUUGGAAAACAAAAGAGAGGUUUUGGUUUCUAAAUGUUGGAAUUGAGGAAAAGGAUAAAAUGGAUAGGUGGGGUUGAUUUGGUGGAUUUGGUUUUCUAGUCGGUGCUAGAAUAGAGUAGCACGACGGUUAGAUAUUUGGAGUGGUUAGCCGAUGCUAAGGUUGGUAGCAUAACGGCUAAAUAUCGGCUCGUCUAGUCGAUGCUACAGUUAAGUAGCACAACGGCUAGUGAGUUAGGAGAUUUGUGUGGAGCGGAAUAGUGUUACUCUGCAGUUGUGAGUGACAACAGAGCAGCUAGGGUCGCACAUAGCUCAAGGACUAGUGUGUGGCAUGCUUGUGGAGGUCGAGGGAGUAGUGAGGCUCCGACCACUGUACGCGUUGAGGCGUGGGGUGCGAAGAGCGACACUUCGACCUUAGGAUUAGGUUAUGCCGGGUUUUACGACCAACGGUUUGACAUCGGGGUUUGAGACCACGCGAACGUCUCCAUAGAAGGUGUAAAGUUUCCACAGCGGCUUUUUGGUGGCUAAGGAUUGUAAAAGAAUGGUUUAAAGAAAUUUGAAUUCAAAUAGAGUUUUUUAAAAAAUAUAUUAAAGAAAUAAAAUUUAAAAUGGUAUUUUAAAAGAAAUAAAGAAAAGGUAAUUAAAUAAAUAAAGAAAUGAUAUUUAAAGAUAAUUUAAUUUAAAAAUGGUUUUAAAUAAAAUAAGAAAUUUUAAAAUUAAAGGGAUUUAAGAUAAAUCAAAUAGGUUUAAAUUAAAAGGGUAUUUAAACAAAAUUUUAAAUAGGAAAUUUGGUAUCAAAAGGGAGGGUUUGAAAUUAGAUGAAUUUAGAUCAAAGGUUCACUGGAAUUGGAUUUGUGGUUGGAAAGAUACGGUUGUCUAAAGAUUGAAAUCAAAUAAAAGAGGAAGUUUACUGUGCAGCGGGGCCCACUGUCAUAUGUCUCUUCUUCUUCCUCCCGUUCUUCUCUCCUUCCUUCUGUUUCUUCUCCCGAGCAACAACAGAGGGGAAGAGGGCACAGGGCACCGGUGCUUCGGUGGUUUAAUGGCCUCGACGGCGGCGGACAAGCGUGUUCCCGCUCGCUAUGCAUCCGGGGAGGUCGGUGGAAGGCAUAGGGAGUAAAUAGAAUGGCCGGAACGGCGGCAGCAAGAGCUCAGCUCUGGCCGGCUAUGGUGGUGCCGGUAGUGCUUGUGGCAGUGGCUAAAGGAGAGGGGAAAUAGGAAAAAAUGGAAUCACCUCGGCGAGGCGGAGUUGGUGGCGCAAGGGUUUGGCUUUCGAAGCUCCGGUGAGGGAGAUCGGCCGACGACGGCGACGGCCGGACAUGGCAAGAGAGAGAAAGAUGGAGCUCUGUUUGUAUGUAAAGAAGGGGAGGGAUGGCCGGCUAUUUAUAGGGGAGAGGGGCGGUGGGGAGAGGCGGUUCUGGAGGCGGUCGACGGCUUGACCACGGCG
rnacentral:lncRNA from 1 species